GCUGACGUUAUUUUGCUGCCAGUUUGCCAG
rnacentral:piRNA from 1 species